UUUUGCGUUUUGCUCUUGUUGCCUAGGCUGGAGUGCAGUGGCAGGGUCUCGGCUCACUGCAACCUCUGCCUCCUGGGUUCAAGCGAUUCUCCCUGCCUCAGCCUUCCGAGUAGCUGGGAUCACCGGCGUGUGCCACCAUGCCAGGCUAAUUUUGUAUUUUUAGUAGACACGGGGUUUCACCAUGUUGGCCAGGCUGGUCUCGAACUCCUGACAUCAGAUGAUCCGCCUGCCUUGGCCUCCCAAAGUGCUGGGAUUACAGGCGUGAGCCACCACGCCUGGCCCAAUUUUGUUUAUUUCUAAAAUAGCUAUUUAAUCCACAUACAAUUGGUUUUCAAGAGCUUUAUUAAUGGGUAAAAUAAGUUUGUGAGCUGUAAUGUUUUCUACAAAUUAAAGCCAGUACUUGAUAGCUUUCUUGUUCUUUGCAUUGCUCAGGUCCCAGCAGGCAGCUGAUUGUUUAGAUGGAGAGACCACAGGGGAGAGUUACCUGUUGCUGUGGGAGCAAUGAGGAGUUAUGGAGGAAAGGAGAGGUACCAAGACCAGAUGAGGACUGAACAUUAGACUUCCCAUGAUUGCAGAACUGUCCUUCGCUGCAGCUGUAAAAUCGCGGCAAGGCAGGAUUCAUCCUGGUGGUGGGUGCAGGCCCUGAUUCCCGUCACUGAGCAGGGAUACAGCAGGAAGCUCCACCUCUGAGCACAGCAAGGGGAUUGUUCUGAUUCUGAGUGUGUCUGUUUGCUAGAGCGGUGGCCACACUUCCCCGGUUCUGCAAUUGUGGAUAAUUUAGCAUGACUUGUUGGGCAUUGCAAAUAUCAUGUCGUGGAGAGUCUGGGCUCUGUUAUUUUUUCCAGCUGUGUGUGUGUGUGUGUGUGUGUGUGUGUGUGCAUGCACGCGCACGCGUGUGUGUGAUGAGACCAUUAAGUUGGUUUGACAGACUGCAAACUGCCUGUUGAACAGCAGCUGAAUUCUUAAUUUGGUUCUUUUAUCCUUCUUGUGUUUCGUGGAGUUUGCCUCACACAUUCAGCGUUCGGAUGUCAACUGGAGUUCUGGAUGGAAGUUAUACACAGAAUUUGGGGUUCUCCAUCUCUGAUUCUCUCCUUCCUUCUCAAUUUUUAGCAGGCAUAUUCCCAAUUUCUUCAGGAGGGAAAGACCAAGGGUUUCCUGUUGGUGUUUUGGCAACUCCGCAUGGCAUGGCGUCAGACUCACCCUAAGCUAAAAACCAUAAAAGCCCUCUUUCCCUUUGUUUCUUCCACACAUCACACUCCCCUCCCAUAAUCCAUGCUUUUCAUCUCCACUCACUUUUUAUAUUUGCUCAUUGUCUAGAUAUUCCCUGCAGGAGAGUGACAUUAGACGGGCUCACUUGGCCACCAUGGGAAGCAGAAAUCCAGAGAUGGACACAUUCCCUAAAUGCUUCUAUGCUGCCCUGUAGGAGAGGUGUUACUCUACUCACAUUGCCGUGAGGAAACUGAGGCUCAGAAGUAGCAUCCUUUGUCUGAAAGGACAUAGCUCGUGAGCGCUGGAAGCAUAGUUUGGUGUCUGACUUGGCCAAUUCCAAAGCUUGUGUGAUUUGCACCAGCACUCAGAUGCAUUCUUCCCUCUCCCUCCCUACCCAAGAAAAAUGCUAUCCCUCCCUUUUCCUCUAAUUAGAAAAUUCUUUUGUAUAGUAGGAGAUUAUUAGGAAAUAAUCAUUUCUCUCCAAAAGUAACACACUGAGGAGGCAGUAUCUGAGGGUUUUGCCCAAAUAUGGCCUUUCAACCUCUGAAUUCAUGCCUACAGAAAUUCCAAGAUGUUUGUCAUAGCAUUUUUAUUCUAACCCUCCUUAAUGAGUGAUACAGUUUGCCUGUGUCCCCACCCAAAUCUCAUCUUGAAUUGUAGCUCCCAUAAUCCCCAUGUGUCAUGGGAGGGACCCCAUGGGUGGUAGUUUAUUCAUGGGGGCAGUUACCCUCAUGCUGUUUUGCUAAUAGUGAGUGAGUUCUCAUGAGAUCUGAUGGUUUUAUAAGGGGCUUUUCCCCCUUUUGCUGGGCACUUCUCCUUGCUGCCGCCACGUGAAGAAGGAUGUGUUUGCUUCCCCUUCUGCCAUGAUUGUAAGUUUCCUGUGGCCUCCCCAUCCCUGAGGAACUGUGAGUCAAUUAAAGCUCUUUUCUUUAUAAAUUACCCAGUCUUGAGCAGUUCUCUAUAGCAGCAUGAGAAUGGACUAAUACAAUGGGUUGGAAACAUCAAGGACUCCAAAGCAACUUUUCUGAUCACUGAAAAUGGCUCACACUAGGGACACGAAGGCAAGGUUUGCAGCUUCCUGCCCAUGUCUGUUCUAUGCCUGACUGGCUGUGCCCAACUUAUACAGGCUGGACUCAUCUUUCCUUCUGUCUCUAUGGCAACCCUCUCAGAGAGCCAGCAGGGGCAAAUCUCUGCUCUCCUAUAACCUUGGGGCCUCUGGCUACCUUCAAGGCAGCCACUUUUAUUUUCUCUAACAAUUCAGGGCAGGUAGGGAAGACUUGUGGGUGUCCCAGACACUGGACAGUGAUUACUGGGGUUUACCAUCCUACUUGUUUGUAAUGCACUCUAGCUCACUCAAGUGUAAUUUUAAAUGCAGUUGUUAAAUGGCAAUGAAAUUUCCAGUUCCACUUAAAGCAAUCAUAGCUCAUUCUUACUGAAUUAAAAGACCCAGGCUACCCUGCUGGGUAUGGUUUACCUUGUGUUCACUUAGGUGUACCUGCUAUUCUCCUGGCAUCACAGAGAGACAAAAGUCCCCAGGAUGGAUGGUACAAGUAUGAAACGCCUGCUUGAGAUGAGAAGCCAAAAUCAGGGGAUUAUUCCUGAGGCUUUAAUAUGCAGAUUGGUCUUUGGAGUUCAUUGAUUGUUAGGGCAGUUUCUCUGACAUAAAAAUUAAUCUUCAGAAAUUUACACACUCAUAGAGAAUGAAGCUGGCAGGAUUUAGCCUGCCCAGUGUACAUUUCUCAUUGGUGCAAAUUCACAUCUUGACAUAUGUUGAUAAGUUUAGGCUGAUGUGUCUUGUAAUGAUGUUGGUAUUCAGGGAAGUUUAUGCCAAUCUUCACGUGAAGUGGUCCUUCCUUAGGAAUUGCUGUGGUUCUCUGACUUUCUGCACUACUGUAUGACUUCCUGGGCCACCAUAAUGAGACACUACAGCCUGGGCAGCUUGAACAGCAGAAACUUAUUUCUUUACAGUUCUGGAGGCCAAAAGUCUAACAUUAUUAAGACAUUGACAGGUUGGUUCUUUCUGAGGCCUUUCCCUUUGGCUUGCAGACACAUCUCCCCAUGUGCACACAGGGUCAUCCUCCUGUGUGUGUCUUUGUCCUGAUCUUCUCUUCUUAUAAGGACUCCAGUCAGGUAGGAUCGAGGCCCACCCUUAUAUGCUCAUUUAACUCACUUUCCUUUCAAAGGCCUCG
rnacentral:lncRNA from 1 species